rnacentral:lncRNA from 1 species
UAUUUCUCAUUUUAAGUUAUAAUUUUUAUUGAGGUAAAAUAUACAUAAAACAACAUUUUUAUCAGAGUCCUAUAGAUGGUUAAAAAAAUUCACCAUUUUAACCAUCUCUUAAAGUCUACAAUUUAGCAGCAUUUAAUACAUUCAUAACGUACAACCAUCACUUCUGUGUGCUUCCAAAGCCUUCAUCACGCCAGAAGGAGACCCCGCGCCCGUUCAACACCAUCCCCCCACCCUCAGUCCCCGACAGUCACUGCCCUGCUUCCCACUCAAGUCACCGACACUUUGAAAAUGUGCUAUGUUAUAAAACUUUUUUCCCAGUAUACAUUUUGUCUUUUAUCACUCCUGGGUUUUAAGUCAUAUUUAAGAAGAUUUUGCCCACUCCCCGGUGAUGAAGGAAUUCACUUUUUCCUAGUACUUUUGACCCAUUUGGAAUUUGUCUUAGUGUAUGGUAUGAAGUGCAGAUUCAUUUUCGUCUUUCUCCAAGUGGUUAACGUUUAACCACUUGUAUUAACAAGUCCAUCCUUUCCUCACCGGUAUCAUAUGCUACCUUAUAGACUGAAUGUUCUAGGCACUGGGGUCUGUCCCCGGGUUUUCAUGUCCCUGGGCCUGCUUGCCUACAUGGGUCCUGGUGUCAUGUGGUUCCAUUACGGAGGCCAGGAGAUGGUUCGGGGGCAGAGGACCUCUCCAUUUCUUUUGCAGAGUUUUCCUGGCUAUUUUUACACUCCUGUGCACUUCCUCUCUCACAUGAACUUUAUAAUUAGUUUUCUAGAUCUGGGGAAAAGCAUGCGGCGUUUUUAUAAGGAUUACAUUACAUUUAUAAAUUUACUUUUGUAGAAUUGUCUUGCUUAGGAGAGUUUUCUUAUCCAGGAACAUGGUCUUUCUUUCUGUCUUAAUUCAUUUUCUGUUGCUAUGACUGAAUACCACAGAGUGGGUAAGUUAUAAAGAAAAGAAUUUUAUUUCUUACAGUUCUGGAGGCAGGGAGUCCAAGGUAUAGGAGUUGCAUCUGGUGAGGACCUUCUUGCUGGUCAAGACUCUGCAGUCUCAAGUGGUGCCGGGCAUUAUGUGAGGGUCUCAUGAGAGACGGCAAAGCUGGCUUUUAUAACCAGCCCCCUGGUGAUAACUGCUCCACUCCCUGAGAACCCAUUAGUCCAUGAAUGGAUUAGUCCUCAUGAGCCAAUCACCUCCCCAGAAUCCCAUCCCAGCACUGCUGCAUUGGAGUCCAGGUUUCCAACACAUGAACUUUUGGGGAAUUCAUUCAAACCAUGGUGGUGUUAAAAUCGACUUUGGUGUCUUUAUGGUCUAUUUAAAGUUUUUCCCAUUUAGGGUUUCACAUUUCUUUUACGCAUGGGGAUUUUUAUCUUUUUGUUGCUGUUAAAAAUGGGUCAUCUCUUCCACUCUGUCUUUGAACUGAAAGUAUGCACAAAGAUCUCUGUGUGCUACUUUAAAUCCUGCUGUUUCUCUGAAUUCUCUUAGUGUUUGUAACAUCACUUUCUUGUGCUGGAAAUAUAACAAAGUAUUUGAUCCAAGAAGCAUCUGGCAGGAAGCCUGGGCAGGAGGGGCACCUUGAGCAUGGGCUUCCUCCUCCCCUUUCCUCUGUCUCUUCUCCUACCGGCUGCUUUCCUUCUCUCCCAUCUGCUGUCCACCAGGCAGGCGUUGCCAGACCACCCCAGAGGUCCCCUCUUCAUGUUUCUUGAGGCUGCGUGGGGGGAGGGCAUGAUAGAGGGAGGCAGGGCUUCGAAGGAGGCACUCGGGGGAGGGGGGGGCGAGGAGAGGAUGGGGCAUGCGAGGGGGCCUUGUCCUCCAGCUUUGUCAGAAGCCUAAUGUGCCCUGUGGCCUGAGCUGGCAUCAGACAGGCUUUAAGAGGAGAAUGUCAGCUGGGUGCGGUGGCUCACACCUGUAAUUCUAGCACUUUGGGAGGCCGAGGUGGGUGGAUCCCUUGAGGUCAGGAGUUCGAGACCAGCCUGGCCAACAUGGCAAAACCCCAUCUCUAUGAAAAAUAGAAAAAUUAGCCAGGCGUGGUGGCAGGCGCCUGUAAUUCCAGCUACUCAGGAGGCUGAGGCACAAGAAUCACUUGAACCCGGGAGGCAGAGGUUGCAAUGAGCCAAGACUGCGCCACUGCACUCCAGCCUGGGCGACAGAGUGAGGUCCUAAAAAGGGAAGAAUAUCGCUGCAUCAGAAAGCAGGAAGGUGGGGCCUGCCCGGGGCCAUGGCCCUGCAAUGAGUUUGGCCCAGAGGCACAGACAGACAGGAGACCAAAGUGAAAUGAAUGAAAAUGGACUGGACCCGAUCGGAGGACUGAGGAGAGCCAGGCCUCAGGGCACCUGGCAUUUGUUCCCUGGAUGGAUCAGGGGAACUGAGGAGAGCCGGGCCGCAGGGCACCCUGGCGUUUGUUCUCUGGGCGGAUCAGGGGAACCGAGGAGAGCCGGGCCGCAGGGCACCCUGGCGUUUGUUCCCUGGAUGGAUCAGGGGAACCGAGGAGAGCCGGGCCGCAGGGCACCCUGGCGUUUGUUCCCAGGGUAGGGGAGCUCUAGCAUGGCACACAGUAGCAGAAGAUAGCAGGUUGUGGUCGGCCCAUGUAGAGAUUUUAGAAACAUCUCACACUUCAUGAGAUCUUAGAAACAUCUCACACUUCAGGUUCAGUCACCCGUGUCCAGUGUCCACAGGAAGGCCUGUGCAAGGCCUCAUGGGAAACAGGGUGGUCCACCAGGCCUGCCCUCAAGGGGGCCCCGUCCCGGAGAAGCAGAUGCACAAAGCUGAGGGACACAGGUCGUGGGCCUUCUUGUGUGGCUCCUUGGCCACGGCACCGCAGCACCUGAGAGCCACCGCUGGAGAGGCAAACGAGCCCUGCAGCAGGCCCGAACCAGAGUUCCUGGGCACGGCCGCGUGCACCCAGUCGGGAGCUUCCCUGCUAAGGGUCAGCGAAGGCUUGGGGUGCUGGCAUUAGGGCUGGGUCCUGAGGGAAGAUGAGGGAGAGAAGUAUAGGAGGAGGAGGGAGUUGAAGGCUGCAGACAGGAGGAGGAAGGGGAGGGAGUAGGGCUGCCAGGGGAGGGGUGGAGGGCUGGAUAAGGAGGAGGGCUACAAAGAAAAGAGUAGAGCUGCAGGGAAGGAGGGUGGAGGGCUGCAGCGGGAGGAGGAGAGGGAGGAAGGCUGCAAGGGGAGGAGGAGAGGGAUGUAGGAGGAGGGUAGUGGAGGGCUGCAGAGGAGGAGGAAGAGGAGAAUAGGGAGGACAAAUCCACUCUAGCAGGGGAACGAAAGCAGCAUGGGGCAGACAAAUCCACUCUAGCAUUCCAAUCUCCCUAAGCCUUUGAAUCCCUUCUUCUACACUAACCAUGGGCGGCCAGGCAUGUCCAGUUAUCCCAUGGUGGGCCAUGUUUUGGCCCAUGUUUCAGCCAAGCAGCCAACCAACCAAUUAGAGCCCUUUCUAAAUGCGGAAUCUCUGCUUAGUGAGCCCGUAUCAAUAAACUUGGCCUGAUCUAACUCUGUGUUCCUCCUACCAUUCUCCCAGGCCCUCAAUAUGCAUUCCCACGGUCCUGGGAUUUCUAUGUAAACUGGAAAACUCACGUUCUCUUUGGUAAGUGCAUCUCCUCAUGGUCACGCCCUGUAUCUCUAGGGGCUGCCCAACAUCAGUCUAGUUCCAUGUCUAGAAGCAAAGAGGGGUGGGGGCAGAUCCUGGGAAGCAGCAGCUUGGUCCUGCUAGUCAGCAGCCUCAGGGCAGUCCCAUUUCCUCAGGCAGUACAGGGUUAACCCACUCAGAUGGAGUUGGGGAGGCUACCACUAGGGUUAGGAAGGCCUCUUCCACUGAAGACUCAUCAGGAUUUAGGGGUUGUCUUCACUGUUCAUCAGGGUCACCCCACACAUCCUCAUCCCAACUGACAGGAUCCCAUUCCUUCCUAACCAAUGCCUUCAUUUGCACAGCAGACACCGUGAGGCUGGGAGUUCCACAUGUGCUAUAAUCCAGCCACUGGAAGGGCGAGAUUCUGGGUUUGAUUUUCAGUAGUCUCAGACCCGCAGCUAAAGGAGGUAAGAGUCUCUCUUGGGACAGUCAUAACUUUCAGAUUAUUCAUGUGACACUUCAGCUGGGAAUCUGAAUCCUGAGCUCACUCCCAUGAUACUUUUUCUGAGAUGGAGUCUCACUCUGUAGCCCAGGCUGGAAUGCAGUGGGGCAAUCCCAGCUCACUGCAACCUCUGCCUCCCAGGUGCAAGUAAUUCUCCUGCCUCAGCCUCCCGAGUAGCUGGGAUUACAGGUGCCUGCCACCACACUUGGCUAAUUUCUGUAUUUUUAGAAGAGUUGGGGUUUUGCCAUGUUGGCCAAGGUGGUCUUGAACUCCUGACCUCAGGUGAUCUGCCCGCCUCAGGCCUCCCAAAGUGCUGGGAUUAUAGGCGUGAGCCACCACACACGGCUUUUUUUUUUUGAGACAGGGUCUCACUGUGUUACCCAGGCCGGAGUACAGUGGUACAAUCACAGCUAACUGCAGCGUCAACCUCUCAGAUUCAACCAAUCCUCCCACCUCAGCCUCCAGAGUAGCUGGAACCACAGGUGCAGGCCACCGUGCUUGACUAAUUUUAUUUUUUAGAGAUGGGAUCUUGUUAUGUUGCCUAGGCUGGUCUUGAACUCCUGGCCUCAAGCCAUCCUCCUGCCUCCCAAAGUGCUGGGAUGACAGGUGUGAGCUACUGGUCCUGGCCCAUUAUACUCUAGUUUGAUGAAAGUGUUCAAAAGCCACCGAGAACCCUGCCUUCUGCAAGUAUUUAAUUAGGAGCACCCAGUGGUGAUACUAUGCAUACCUCUAUUGCCACAUCACACUAUGGACUAUCGGUGUUCUUUUUACUACUGGAAAUCAGCAUUAGUGCCUUUACAUCUAAUCAGGAUAAAGACCCAAUUCCAGGAACCCUCCCAUCCCCACCCUCUCGCCACUCCCCACCCUCAAUUAUUUUCAAGCAAACCCUCCGCACCUCUUACCAUGUUGUGUAUAGGUAGAAGCUAUUUAACACACACACAGUGACAUUCUGUCUAAAAUGACAACGAUCGUUUGGAGAAGUUUAUUACCACCCCUACCCUCCAGUGGGAUCUCAAUGUCACGAUGA